rnacentral:rRNA from 1 species
GACGAACGCUGGCGGCGUGCUUAACACAUGCAAGUCGAACGGAAAGGCCCUGCUUUUGUGGGGUGCUCGAGUGGCGAACGGGUGAGCAACACGUGAGUAACCUGCCCUUGACUUUGGGAUAACUUCAGGAAACUGGGGCUAAUACCGGAUAGGAGCUCCUGCUGCAUGGUGGGGGUUGGAAAGUUUCGGCGGUUGGGGAUGGACUCGCGGCUUAUCAGCUUGUUGGUGGGGUAGUGGCUUACCAAGGCUUUGACGGGUAGCCGGCCUGAGAGGGUGACCGGCCACAUUGGGACUGAGAUACGGCCCAGACUCCUACGGGAGGCAGCGGUGGGGAAUAUUGCACAAUGGGCGGAAGCCUGAUGCAGCAACGCCGCGUGCGGGAUGACGGCCUUCGGGUUGUAAACCGCUUUCGCCUGUGACGAAGCGUGAGUGACGGUAAUGGGUAAAGAAGCACCGGCUAACUACGUG